UACAGAGGUCUCAAGCGUUGUUCGGAUUCAUUGGGCGUAAAGGGUGCGUAGGCGGCGCGGUAAGUCGGGUGUGAAAUCUUGGAGCUUAACUCCGAAACUGCAUUCGAUACUGCCGUGCUUGAGGACUGGAGAGGAGACUGGAAUUUACGGUGUAGCGGUGAAAUGCGUAGAUAUUGGGAGGAACACCAGUGGCGAAGGCGGCUCACUGGACCGGAACUGACGCUGAGGCGCGAAAGCGUGGGGAGCAAACGGG
rnacentral:rRNA from 1 species